rnacentral:rRNA from 1 species
UGGGAAUAUUGGACAAUGGGCGCAAGCCUGAUCCAGCCAUGCCGCGUGAGUGAUGAAGGCCUUAGGGUUGUAAAGCUCUUUCACCCACGACGAUAAUGACGGUAGUGGGAGAAGAAGCCCCGGCUAACUUCGUGCCAGCAGCCGCGGUAAUACGAAGGGGGCUAGCGUUGCUCGGAAUCACUGGGCGUAAAGGGCGCGUAGGCGGCCGAUCAAGUCAGGGGUGAAAGCCUAUGGCUCAACCACAGAAUUGCCUUUGAUACUGUUCGGCUCGAGACCGGAAGAGGUUGGUGGAACUGCGAGUGUAGAGGUGAAAUUCGUAGAUAUUCGCAAGAACACCAGUGGCGAAGGCGGCCAACUGGUCCGGUUCUGACGCUGAGGCGCGAAAGCGUGGGGAGCAAAACAGGAUUAGAUACCCUGGUAGUCCACGCCGUAAACGAUGAAUGCCAGCCGUUGGGCAGCUUGCUGCUCAGUGGCGCAGCUAACGCUUUAAGCAUUCCGCCUGGGGAGUACGGUCGCAAGA